AACGCUACGCAGCUACACACUGCAGUCCUACGGGUAGAAUGUCUUCGGAUAUUUGAGACGGCGCACGGGUGCGUAACGCGUAUGCAACCUACCUUUUACUGGGGAAUAGCCCGGAGAAAUUCGGAUUAAUGCCCCAUAUGCUCGUACGACCUCAUGGUCGAGCGAGGAAAGUUCCGGCGGUAAGAGAUGGGCAUGCGUCCUAUUAGCUAGUUGGUGAGGUAAUGGCUCACCAAGGCGACGAUAGGUAGGGGGCCUGAGAGGGUGAUCCCCCACACUGGUACUGAGACACGGACCAGACUCCUACGGGAGGCAGCAGUGAGGAAUAUUGGGCAAUGGAGGAAACUCUGACCCAGCCAUGCCGCGUGCAGGAAGACGGCCCUAUGGGUUGUAAACUGCUUUUGUACGAGAAUAAACCCUUCCACGUGUGGAAGGCUGAAGGUACCGUACGAAUAAGGAUCGGCUAACUCCGUGCCAGCAGCCGCGGUAAUACGGAGGAUCCAAGCGUUAUCCGGAUUUAUUGGGU
rnacentral:rRNA from 1 species